AGUUGAAGCAGGCACGUUCGAAAUGCGGUGUUAGAGUUACGACCCGUGUUGACAGCGCGAUCAUCCCUGUGUCAGAUUCUGACAGCUUGGACGUUUUAGAUGCAUCGGAAUCAUCCGGGGACCACGCCGUUGGGGAAAACAUCCCCGUUGGAGACAAUGAAGGCUUGCGGCGGCCAUCUUGGAUGUUUCCAUGGCAACCGGUGGCAACAUCACCUGGAAAAGACUCCAUUUCAAUUGUUAAUAUGUAUACCUCAAAGUUGUAACCAAUUAAAACUAACAAAUACUU